GGAUGCGAUCAUACCGACUCCCUUGCACUAGAUCCCAUAAGAACUUCGAAGUUAAGCGAGUUUGGACGAGAGUAGUACUAGGAUGGGUGAUCUCUUGGGAAGUCCUCAUGUUGCAUCCC